GGUAGGAACAGGUGCUGCCGUAAGAAGGGCAGCAUUUAGAGGAGAGAAGAGGUAGUUUGGACCUGAGAAACAGCCUUUGCUUGCAUCAGGGUGAUAGUAGAGACUGCAGACUCAGAGAAGACAAGUCAUUAAGGUCCUGGCAUGUUACUGUCAGUUUCACCUGCUUCCACGUGAAGCAAGGUUCAAGUUCAAACAGCAUCACACACUCUGGGCACUCAAGAAAUUGUCACUUUCAUUACCUCAGCCUCAUCCUAUUCUUCCUACAGGGGCAAACAUUGGCCUCACAGUUCAGUCUUCCCAGUGAGACCUGAACACUGGGUUCCCCAGGACAUGCAUCCUCAGAAGAUGAGGGAAUUGUCAUGGUGAAGCUGGAGGACUCUGAGGAGGAGGGCGGGGGCUGCCCCAUGGGAUCCUGGCCCAGAGGCUGCAUGCCAGCGCUUCUGACCCUUCUGCUACGAUGAGACCUUAGGUCCUCAGAAGGCCCUAGCCCAACUCAUAAAGCUGUGCCAUGAGUGGCUGCAACCCGACGUGCACUCCAAGGACCAAAUGCUGGAGCUGCUAGUGCUGGAGCAGUUUCUGGGCAUGCUACUCUGAGAUCCAGGCCCGUGUUCAGGCACAGUGGCCAGGCAGUCCUGAGGAAGCUGCUGCCCUAGUUGAGGGUCUUCACCAGGAACCAGGAAGACCCCAGAGAUGGGCCUGCACCCAGAUGUCAUCCCACCUGACCCCAUCACCUGGCAUACCACCACAUGAGGGAAUCAGUGUGGGAGCACCCCUACUGCGUGACCCCAUCUUUCUUCUCCAGGACUUCCAGAUUCUGAGCCACUAACCAAUGCCUAGGACACUGUACCUACUGUCUGCCUGACAUGGCCCAGAAAAAUUAUUUUAAUUAGAAGUUCCAGAUGUUUCAGGAAAGAUAGCUGAAAGGGCUGGAGUGCAUGCCUUAUAUGUAGGAGUCUGGAUUUAUUUCCCAAUACCUCUGGAAGCAAUCCCCCAGCAGCACAUUGUGGGUAGCCUCUGAGCACUGCCAGGUGUGGCCCAAAAACUAAAAUUGAAAAAAAAUCUAGAUUUUUGCUAGCGUAGUCUUAGUAUCUGAUAGUGCACUUAUUUCCUGACCAUUUGUUUUAUUAAGUCUUCCCCCUUUUUAAAAAAAUCUGAGGAUAGCAGUAACUUGUUUUAUUAAAAUUUUCUCAGCAUGGGCUCUCUUUAGCUUCUCUUAAGUUGUUUGCUAAUGUGUAAGACAGGGAUCACAAAUCACUGAGAUGUGGAUGAGGAGCAUAUUGGCCAUGACAACAAACUAAGGAUAGAAAAUAAUAGUAUCACUUGCCCAAGACAGCCCACUUCUUAGGGGAUAUGAUUGGCUGGGACAUGAGUCUCUAAGGCAAUGUGGCUAGGCUGGCUGGAGGCAGCCCUUUGCUGAGCAUUUUCAGAUCUUUUCUCUCAGUCCUCCCAAGAAAGCAGUUUCAGGGCUAGAACAAUAGUACAGCACGUAGGGCACUUGCCUUGCAUGCGGUCAACCCAGGUUCCAUCCCCAUCAUCCCAUCUGAUCCCCCAAGCCGCACCAGAAAUUAUUCCUGAGCUAGAGCCAGGAGUAAGAGGAAGGUAGUGCUUCCACUUAUUUUCUGGUGGUGCUCAGGGAAACCAUAUGUAAUGCCAGGGAUCAAACUAGUUUAAGGAGCUGGAGAGUAGAGAGGUUAAGGCACAUGCCCUGCAUGAGACUAACCCUGGCUCAGUCCCCAAUACCUCAUGUAGUCUUCCAAGAAGUGCCAGGAGCCAUACCUGAGCACAGACCAAAAGUCCUGAGCACUCCCAGGUGAGCCUCCCCAUCUCCCCAAUCCCCCCACCCUGCCCUACCCCCCCAAAAAAUUAAACAGGUUCUGCCAUAUUCAAGGCAAGCACCUUUAACCUCAUGAAACUCCAGCUCUGGUUACCUUUUUUUUUAAAAAAAAAAGACCAGAGAUAACUCUAUUCAUAUGAGCAUAUCAUCUGAGCAUAUGCUUUACAUAUAGAAUGUCUGGGCUUUAUCUCUGGCAUCACAGGUUAUCCUUAGCUUCUGGGAGCAAUCUCUGAACAUGGAACCAGGAGUAGCCCUAAGCACUGCUGGAUGUGACCCAUAAUCCCCCAAAAAAGCAUUUUAAAAAAUGUUUAAAAAUUUUUGCCUGAGGGGGCCAGAGCGAUAGCACAGCGGGUAGGGCGUUUGCCUUGCAUGCGGCCGACCCAGGUUCA